UACGUAGGGUGCGAGCGUUGUCCGGAAUUAUUGGGCGUAAAGGGCUCGUAGGCGGUUUGUCACGUCGGGAGUGAAAACUCGGGGCUCAACCCCGAGCCUGCUUCCGAUACGGGCAGACUAGAGGUAUGCAGGGGAGAAUGGAAUUCCUGGUGUAGCGGUGAAAUGCGCAGAUAUCAGGAGGAACACCGAUGGCGAAGGCAGGUCUCUGGGCUGACACUGACGCUCAUGCACGAAAGCGUGGGGAGCAAACAGG
rnacentral:rRNA from 1 species